UACGGGGGGAGCAAGCGUUGUUCGGAUUUACUGGGCGUAAAGGGCGCGUAGGCGGCACCGCAAGUCGACUGUGAAAUCUCCGGGCUUAACCCGGAAAGGUCAGCCGAUACUGCGGGGCUAGAGUGCAGAAGGGGCAACUGGAAUUCCUGGUGUAGCGGUGAAAUGCGCAGAUAUCAGGAGGAACACCGGUGGCGAAGGCGGUUCUCUGGGCCUGUACUGACGCUGAGGAGCGAAAGCGUGGGGAGCGAACAGG
rnacentral:rRNA from 1 species